CCGAGCCUCCCGCCCUCGCCGCUCCCGCGCCCGGGGCAGGAAGGCGCGCCGGGCAGCUGGGUGGCCUCGGGCACCCGGCUCGUCAUCCCGCUGGCCUUCCGCUCAUUUAUUCCCACACUUUGGGAAAGCCUCCUGGGUGCCAGGCGCUCUUCCAGGCGCUGGGCCACAGCCUGCCAAGCCCUUGCCCCGCCGAGCAGUCUGCAGGGGCCGGGGUGCGGGGCUGGGGACGUGCGCACAGGCAGGUCACUUCGGACGGUGUAAAGAGCCUGGUGACGGCCAGGGUGACGGCGGUGGGGGUGGCAUCACGCACCUGAGAGUAGGAGAAACCGAGGCAGCGGCCAAAGGUGCCCUCUCAGUGACUUGAUUUUUACACACAAAGUCCUGCUUGGAAAGGUACAUGAGUUCCUUUUCCCAUCACAUGAGUGAGUGACACACCCUCCGUCCAGACCACGAACCCUGUGAGGGUGGAACCCGGCAGGCACUGGAGAAGCAUCUGUGCUGUCCCCGAGCCCAUCCCCUCUGAGGCAGAUGGGGAUGGACUCCUGUACCCAUUUCACAGGAAGGAAAACAGAGGCCUAGGGAAGGGAGGUGGCCACCCCAGGGCCACACGGCAGGCCAGCGAUGGAACAGGGUUUGAAUCCAGGCCUGAGCCCUCGAAGUCCGGGAUGUUUCCUUGGCGACCGCGCUUCAGGAUCUUGUGCUCCAGCCUGCUCGCUGCAGGGGACAGGUCUGCACUCGGCCAUUCUAGAAAUGCCGAAAGUGAGAGGCCAGCCGUGCCGCAGGGAGGGGGCACAGGACAGCGAGCGGGGCUGGGGCUCUGGGAAACCAUGUGCCACAGGCCUUUGAAAUGGAGUUGAAAAGAAGACCUGAUUUAUAAAUAGAGAAGAAUCUCGACUA